UACGGGGGGGGCAAGCGUUGUUCGGAAUUACUGGGCGUAAAGGGCUCGUAGGUGGCCAACUAAGUCAGACGUGAAAUCCCUCGGCUUAACCGGGGAACUGCGUCUGAUACUGGAUGGCUUGAGUUCGGGAGAGGGAUGCGGAAUUCCAGGUGUAGCGGUGAAAUGCGUAGAUAUCAGGAGGAACACCGGUGGCGAAGGCGGGUCUCUGGGCCGUAACUGACGCUGAGGAGCGAAAGCGUGGGGAGCAAACAGG
rnacentral:rRNA from 1 species